rnacentral:rRNA from 1 species
GGGGGGGGGGGGGGGGGGGGGGGGGGGGGGGGGGGGGGGCGGGCGGGCGGGGGGCGGGGGGCUCGGGCGGUAGGGGCGGGCGGGUGAGUAACACGUGGAUAGCCUACCUGUAAGGCGGGGAUGACUGCGGGGGGCCGGAGCUACUACCGGCUAGUAUAUUGAAGCGCACGGGUCAAUGGUGGCAGACGGUGGUGCUGGCCCGUAGAGGUGGGUCCGCUCCGCAUGGGCUCGUGUGCACGGUAACGGCUUACCAAGGCGACGAUGCGUAGCCGACCUGAGAGCGUGGUCGCACACACUGGAACUGCGAAACGUUCCAGACUCCUAAGGGAGGCAGCAGUAGGGAAUCUUCCGCAAUGGGCGAAAGCCUGACGGAGCAACGCCGCGUGAGUGAUGAAGGUCUUCGGAUCGUAAAACUCUGUUAUUAGGGAAGAACAAAUGUGUAAGUACCUAUGCACGUCUUGACGGUACCUAAUCAGAAAGCCACGGCUAACUACGUG